rnacentral:misc_RNA from 1 species
CAUUACCGAGUGCGGGUCCUUUGGGCCCAACCUCCCAUCCGUGUCUAUUAUACCCUGUUGCUUCGGCGGGCCCGCCGCUUGUCGGCCGCCGGGGGGGCGCCUUUGCCCCCCGGGCCCGUGCCCGCCGGAGACCCCAACACGAACACUGUCUGAAAGCGUGCAGUCUGAGUUGAUUGAAUGCAAUCAGUUAAAACUUUCAACAAUGGAUCUCUUGGUUCCGGCAUCGAUGAAGAACGCAGCGAAAUGCGAUAACUAAUGUGAAUUGCAGAAUUCAGUGAAUCAUCGAGUCUUUGAACGCACAUUGCGCCCCCUGGUAUUCCGGGGGGCAUGCCUGUCCGAGCGUCAUUGCUGCCCUCAAGCCCGGCUUGUGUGUUGGGUCGCCGUCCCCCUCUCCGGGGGGACGGGCCCGAAAGGCAGCGGCGGCACCGCGUCCGAUCCUCGAGCGUAUGGGGCUUUGUCACAUGCUCUGUAGGAUUGGCCGGCGCCUGCCGACGUUUUCCAACCAUUUUUUCCAGGUUGACCUCGGAUCAGGUAGGGAUACCCGCUGAACUUA